GAUGAACGCUGGCGGCGUGCCUAAUACAUGCAAGUCGAGCGAACAGAUAAGGAGCUUGUUCCUUUCACGUUAGCGGCGGACAGGUGAGUAACACGUGGAGAACCUACCUAUAAGACUGGGAUAACUCCGAGAACGCGGGCCUAAUGCCGGAUAACGUGUUGAACCGCAUGGGUCUAUAGCGAAAGGCGGGCUUGCUGUUAAUGAUAGAUGGUACCGCGCCGUAGUCGCUGAUUGGUGAGGUAACGACUCACCAAGGCAACGAUACGUAGCCGACCUGAGAGGGUGAUCGGCCACACUGGAACUGAGACACGGUCCAGACUCCUACGGGAGGCAGCAGUAGGGAAUCUUCCGCAAUGGGCGAAAGCCUGUCGGAGCAACGCCGCGUGGGUGAUGAGGGUCUUCGGAUCGUAAAACUCUGUUAUUAGGGAAGAACAAAUGCGUAAGUAACUGUACGCGUCUUGACGGUACCUAAUCAGAAAGCAACGGCUAACUCCGUG
rnacentral:rRNA from 1 species